UGAAAGCAAAACUUAAAUGGAGCAAUGCAGCACCGUGGCCAUACAUGUACUAACAAAGCUAAAGGUUCUUUGUUUUUAUGAAUUUCAACAAGAUUAUCCAAUGGAUUUUAAAUGAAGAGAUGAUUUAUUCAUGCACUAUAUGAUGUUCCUUUUCUAACUGAUAUGCGGUGAGCGUUCUGGCGCAAAAUGGCUGUCGUGCAUCACCCAGGUGGGGGCUACACAUUGGUGGUGGGUGAGGUCUUACUGGGACCAGGGAUCAAGACCCCAAGCCUCACUCUCUGAAGAACAGUAUGUCAAACUUACACAUUACCUUAUAACAGCUCUCUCGUUAUAUGACAUUAUUAUGUAACCUACAAAAUGUCCCUAUAAAAAUAAUUAUGGGAGGUCUGAUCGAGAAUUCUUUGUGAAAGAGAUUUCAUUAUUAAAGGGGAAUUGAACACUUCUGCUUCUCAUGACUGAUAUUGUCCUUCUAAUGAAUGUCACCCUUCAUUUUUCGAUUAGUUAUUUCAUUUUAAAUGCCUAACGUUAGAAACAAAGACCUUUUUUUAGCGCAAGUCCACAUAGUAGUAUGGUUUCCGGUUUUUACUUCUUCUUUGAUUUCGUUUAGUGGAAAAUCGAGAAGAAGCAAAGCAAAACAUUCUGUUAACGUAGCGUUGAAAUCAAACAAACUAACGUCUGCUAGCUUUUGUUUGAUGCAAUAUCGGUGUAAUAAUGAGGUGCAUUGUGCCUGGUUGUUAUAAUGCCCCCAUUCAACUUGACCUGAAAGCACAUUUUCAUAGUUUUCCACCCGAUGCAACUUUGUAUAACAAUUCCAUGAUCAAAAACAAAAUCUCCUUUGUCCUCAGACAUUUUCGGUUUCGCUAGCUAGUAGAAAUGCAACACUAGGUCUACGACCAACCUAAUGUUAUUGUCUGCAGGUAUGCCCACAUCAGAAGUCGUGCAAUGAUAUGCAUCCUAACAUAACAUAAUGAAAAAUGGAAGGGCGACACAUUCAUUAGAAGGACAUUAUCAGUCAUGAGCAGAAGUGUUAUAAAGUGCAAUUCCCCUUUAAAAAAUCUAAUUAAAUACGCUUCGCCAGCAUACUCAUAUUUUUCAUGUGAUUUCAGUGACGCAUGGUUUCAAUCACAUGCCGAAUGCAUGCACCAACUUGAAUAUCUGAGCUUAUGAAUGUUCAUUAUUUGUCCAAAAGAACAUACUGUAUGCUGAAUAAUUUAUGAGCCAAAUACUGUAUUUGUACUUGUUUUCCUUUUUUUUUGUUAUGUAUACGAGAUGAAUUUUCAUUGGCUAUAUAUGUUUUCAUGCUUACAAAAAAUGUAUAAAUUACAUAUUCAUAUUUGGAUGAAAUAAAUUUCAGCAACAAGGUCAUGUCCAUUUUUAAUGCAUGUAAUAUAUGCACUGUAACAUGAUUUCAGUAAAACUUUCAUUUUAAUUCAUAGUAUCUUUCAAACCAAAUUCUCUCUGAAGAUUUCGUUUAGGAUGGUGUAAGAAUAAUUGUUUAGUGUUGGGUACACUUACACUGAUCAACAUGCAUUUGUCUCAUUUAACAUAUUAAAUAAAUUGCAUUUAUGUUAAAAAGCUUGCAUUGUACUUUUGUGUGUUUCAAUUUGCAAUGGCAUUCUGGAUUGCUGUACAAUUUUAGAAUUCUGGAAAAAAAAGCAUUCCCAGAAAAACCUGCUCUUCAAAGGGUCGAUGACUACAGUGAGCUCCAAGUGGCAUAUUUAACACACUGACCAGUGGGUCAUUAAGAAAAAUAACAAUAUAGAUUUUCUUUUUUAGUGACAACCUGUAAAAAAAAAAA